AUGCAAGUCGAGCGGACAGAUGGGAGCUUGCUCCCUGAUGUUAGCGGCGGACGGGUGAGUAACACGUGGGUAACCUGCCUGUAAGACUGGGAUAACUCCGGGAAACCGGGGCUAAUACCGGAUGGUUGUCUGAACCGCAUGGUUCAGACAUAAAAGGUGGCUUCGGCUACCACUUACAGAUGGACCCGCGGCGCAUUAGCUAGUUGGUGAGGUAACGGCUCACCAAGGCGACGAUGCGUAGCCGACCUGAGAGGGUGAUCGGCCACACUGGGACUGAGACACGGCCCAGACUCCUACGGGAGGCAGCAGUAGGGAAUCUUCCGCAAUGGACGAAAGUCUGACGGAGCAACGCCGCGUGAGUGAUGAAGGUUUUCGGAUCGUAAAGCUCUGUUGUUAGGGAGAACAAGUGCCGUUCAAAUAGGGCGGCACCUUGACGGUACCUAACCAGAAAGCCACGGCUAACUACGUGCCAGCAGCCGCGGUAAUACGUAGGUGGCAAGCGUUGUCCGGAAUUAUUGGGCGUAAAGGGCUCGCAGGCGGUUUCUUAAGUCUNAUGUGAAAAGCCCCCCGGCUCAACCGGGGAGGGUCCAUUGGAAAACNUGGGGAACNUUGAGUUGCANAAAAAAGGAAAAGUGGAAAUUCCNNCCUGUANCCGGUUGAAAAA
rnacentral:rRNA from 1 species